UCUCGCCCCGCAGCCCGCGCCUCCCCCUCCGCCGCUCUGCGCACGGAUGGCGGCGGGAGCCGCAGAGGGGAAAGUGUGAAUGAAGUCUUCAUUACCACAAAUUGUGCAAUUAAUGUUUCCCAUAUUUGGGGAAAUCAUGGGAUUAGUACAGAGUGGAUGAAAACCUGUGAAAACCUCUUUCUUGAUCUUGGCAUCUUUCCUGCCGGAUAAAUGUGAUGAGCAGGAGUGAGCGGGAUCUCAAGGAUGUGGGGACAAUUCAGCAGCUUCUUUUGCCAUCUGGAGGCGCAUGACAUCACUGGGGAUAGAAAUAGUGUGAGCUGAGGCGGUAGCAGGUUACAAAUGAAGAUGCCAUAUGGGGUCGAUGACCACACAGAAAACAGUGACGGAAGCCACUAUAAACGUUGCACAGGUGCUGGCGUGGGAACCUGCAAGACUAAGACACUGCAAGGCUUCAGCAACAAGACACCGUCGUCAUUAUUGCUAGCGUCACCACCGUCAGCAUUGAGAAAGGGUCUCUUGUAGCCCAGGCUGGCCUCAAACUCUAACUGAGGAUAACUGAGUUCUGAUCUGUCUCCCUUCACUUCCCAAGUGCUGGGGUGGGGUUAAAAGCAUGUGCCACAGUACCUGGUUUUCUGCAGUGCUGGAAUCGAAUCCAGGGCUUUGGGGCAUACUAGACAAGCAUCCUACUAGUUGAAUUAUGUCCUUAGUCCAUCAUCAUUAUCAUCAAU